rnacentral:sRNA from 12 species
CAGUUCGGGGCCGGCCAACCUCCUCCCUGGUCCGGUCCUGACCCGCGUCGCCGCAACCUCCUCCCUGCGGCGGGCGCGCACGACAAGACGGUGGCCCGACCUCCUCCCCGGGUCACCGUCUUAA